rnacentral:rRNA from 2 species
GCUCAGGAUUAACGCUGGCGGCGUGCCUAAUACAUGCAAGUCGAACGGAAGUUUAAGCAAUUAAACUUUAGUGGCGAACGGGUGAGUAACGCGUAAGCAAUCUGCCCCUAAGACGAGGAUAACAGUUGGAAACGACUGCUAAGACUGGAUAGGAGACAAGAAGGCAUCUUCUUGUUUUUAAAAGACCUAGCAAUAGGUAUGCUUAGGGAGGAGCUUGCGUCACAUUAGUUAGUUGGUGGGGUAAAGGCCUACCAAGACUAUGAUGUGUAGCCGGGCUGAGAGGUUGAACGGCCACAUUGGGACUGAGACACGGCCCAAACUCCUACGGGAGGCAGCAGUAGGGAAUUUUCGGCAAUGGAGGAAACUCUGACCGAGCAACGCCGCGUGAACGAUGAAGUAUUUCGGUACGUAAAGUUCUUUUAUUAGGGAAGAAUAAAUGAUGGAAAAAUCAUUCUGACUGUACCUAAUGAAUAAGCCCCGGCUAACUAUGUGCCAGCAGCCGCGGUAAUACAUAGGGGGCAAGCGUUAUCCGGAAUUAUUGGGCGUAAAGGGUGCGUAGGCGGUUAAAUAAGUUUAUGGUCUAAGUGCAAUGCUCAACAUUGUGAUGCUAUAAAAACUGUUUAGCUAGAGUAAGAUAGAGGCAAGUGGAAUUCCAUGUGUAGUGGUAAAAUGCGUAAAUAUAUGGAGGAACACCAGUAGCGAAGGCGGCUUGCUGGGUCUUUACUGACGCUGAGGCACGAAAGCGUGGGGAGCAAACAGGAUUAGAUACCCUGGUAGUCCACGCCGUAAACGAUGAGUACUAAACGUUGGGUAAAACCAGUGUUGAAGUUAACACAUUAAGUACUCCGCCUGAGUAGUACGUACGCAAGUAUGAAACUUAAAGGAAUUGACGGGACUCCGCACAAGCGGUGGAUCAUGUUGUUUAAUUCGAAGGUACCCGAAAAACCUCACCAGGUCUUGACAUGCUUCUGCAAAGCUGUAGAAACACAGUGGAGGUUAUCAGUUGCACAGGUGGUGCAUGGUUGUCGUCAGCUCGUGUCGUGAGAUGUUGGGUUAAGUCCCGCAACGAGCGCAACCCUUAUUGUUAGUUACCAGCACGUAAUGGUGGGGACUUUAGCAAGACUGCCAGUGAUAAAUUGGAGGAAGGUGGGGACGACGUCAAAUCAUCAUGCCCCUUAUGACCUGGGCUACAAACGUGAUACAAUGGCUGUUACAAAGGGUAGCUGAAGCGCAAGUUUUUGGCGAAUCUCAAAAAAACAGUCUCAGUUCGGAUUGAAGUCUGCAACUCGACUUCAUGAAGUUGGAAUCGCUAGUAAUCGCGAAUCAGCAUGUCGCGGUGAAUACGUUCUCGGGGUU